UACAGAGACUGCAAGCGUUAUUCGGAUUCACUGGGCGUAAAGGGUGCGCAGGCGGCCAAGUGUGUCAGGUGUGAAAUCCCGGGGCUUAACUCCGGAACUGCGCCUGAAACUACUUGGCUAGAGCAUUGGAGAGGGAAGUGGAAUUCACGGUGUAGCAGUGAAAUGCGUAGAUAUGUGGAGGAAUACCGAUGGCGAAGGCAGCCCCCUGGGAUAACACUGACGCUCAUGCACGAAAGCGUGGGGAGCAAACAGG
rnacentral:rRNA from 1 species